rnacentral:misc_RNA from 1 species
GUAGGUGAACCUGCGGAAGGAUCAUUACCAAAUCCAAAUCCUUCAACCCCUUGUGAACUAUGAUUAAUAAUUAUUGUUUUGUCUUUGGGGAGUUUUAAAGUGUUGAAAAUUUGUUAUGAUUUUUGAUACUACUACUCCCCAAAAGAGUUAUUAUUCCUCCCUUUUUUUUUAAAAAAAGUGGAGGGAAAACACUCACAUUGUUAAACUACUUUUUUAUAAACUUUUAUUUUUGGAAUGCUUUUAUUUAUACUAAUAAAAGACAACUUUUAACGGUGGAUCUCUUGGCUCGU